rnacentral:misc_RNA from 1 species
AGCAGCCGCGGUAAUUCCAGCUCCAAUAGCGUAUAUUAAAGUUGUUGCAGUUAAAAGCUCGUAGUUGAAUUUCGGGAUCAAUAUGUUGGUCGUGCCUUGGUACGUACUGGCAUUAUCGAUUCCUACCUUCUGAAGAACCUCGAUGUCAUUAAUUUGGUGUCUUGGGGAAUCAGGACUGUUACUUUGAAAAAUUGAGUGUUUAAAGCAGGCUCGCGCUUGAAUACAUUAGCAUGGAAUAAUGAAAUAGGACGUUUGAUUCUAUUUUGUUGGUUUCUAGGAUCGACGUAAUGAUUAAUAGGGAUAGUUGGGGGCAUUAGUAUUCAAUUGUCAGAGGUGAAAUUCUUGGAUUUAUUGAAGACUAACUACUGCGAAAGCAUUUGCCAAGGAUGUUUUCAUUAAUCAAGAACGAAAGUUAGGGAUCGAAGACGAUCAGAUACCGUCGUAGUCUUAACCAUAAACUAUGCCGACUAUGGAUCGGAUGAUGUUAAUUUUUAUGACU